rnacentral:rRNA from 1 species
UACAGAGGGGGCAAGCGUUGUUCGGAAUUACUGGGCGUAAAGGGCGCGCAGGCGGCUGCUCAAGUCAGGCGUGAAAGGCCUGGGCUCAACCCGGGAAUUGCGCUUGAGACUGGGCUGGCUUGAGUGCGGGAGAGGAUGGUGGAAUUCCCAGUGUAGAGGUGAAAUUCGUAGAUAUUAGGAAGAACACCAGUGGCGAAGGCGGCUCACUGGCCCGGUACUGACGCUGAGGCGCGAAAGCCAGGGGAGC